ensembl:lncRNA
ACAGCUGAGAGAAGCAUAGAGAACUGCUAAGAGAAGCUAAGAGAACAGAGAGAGAGAGGAGAGAGAGAGGAGAGAGAGAGAGAGAGAGGCUCACACCAACCACACACAGGUUGCACACAUGCCAUGUCUCUGGGCACAUUCAGACUUGGCUUGGCUUUUUAAAAACAUUUUCUUUGAUGGGGCCUUGCCUGCCUGCAUUUUACUUCACUGUAUCCGUUACACUGUAGGAACAAUGUGGAAUUGAAGAGUGGGGAGAGGUAAGAGGAGAUGAGAGGAAGAGGAGAGAAGAAGAUAGAAAAGGAGGGAAGUGGAGGGAAGAGGAAAGAAGGCAGAGAAGAGGAGGCAGAGAAGAGGAGAGAGAGAAGAGGAGGGAGAGAAAGAGAGGGAGAGAAGAGGAGGGAGAGAAGAGGAGGCAGAGAAGAGGAGAGAGAGAAGAGGAGGGAGAGAAGUGGAGGGACAGAAGUGGAGGGAGAGAAGAGGAGGGAGAGAAGAGGAGGCAGAGAAGAGGAGAGAGAGAAGAGGAGGGAGAGAAGAGGAGGGAGAGAAGAGGAGAGAGAGAAGUGGAGGGAGAGAAGAGGAGGCAGAGAAGAAGAGGCAGCGAAAAGGAGGGAGGAUGAGAAAAGAGUAGAUUAGAGAGGAACGUGGAGAAGAGAAAAUAAUAAGGAAGAAGAGCUCUGAGCCCCGGUCUGUAGACUGAGAAGAGAAUUAGCUCUGAGCCCCGGUCUGUAGGCUGAGAAGAGAAGAGAAGAGCUCUGAGCCCCGGUCUGUAGACUGAAAAGAGAAGAGCUCUGAGCGACGGUCUGUAGACUGAGAAGAGAAGAGAAGAGAAGAGCUCUGAGCCCCGGUCUGUAGACUGAGAAGAGAAGAGAAGAGAAGAGCUCUGAGCCCCGGUCUGUAGACUGAGAAGAGAAGAGAAGAGCUCUGAGCCCCGGUCUGUAGACUGAGAAGAGAAGAGCUCUGAGCCCCGGUCUGUAGGCUGAGAACAGAAGAGAGGAGGGGAGAGCAGUAGGUUGGGAUUGAGGAAUGAAACUACAUUUGCUGGAGGAAAUUGGAGGUAAUGAAAAAAACGACCAAUUUAAGGUGUCAGUCAGCAGCAGGCCUAGAGGUAGAAAUCUAGAGGAGCGCCUCCCUCCCUCCCUCCCUCCCUCC